CUGAUGACAUGCUGUAAAUCCAUCCUGAAACAGAGGGAGGCAUCUUUCAGAGAAAUCAAGCGGAGUUAUUUUGUAGGUCAUGUAGUUCACUGUUGGACCAGCAGGUGGCGCUGCUGUAUUAGAGCUGUUUCCAACCGGAGCCCGGAAAUAACACGAAGAAGAAGAGCUGCGCUAACCGGACCUUGCUCCAGAAGCUACAGACUCCACAUUGAGGGCGGAAGAAGGGCGAAAAUUCAUCCUUGUGAAUGAGAAUGGGACUUUUUAUCAAGGCAUGCAGUCACUACACUUAGGAUGACAAUGGAUGAACUGGUUUAGACCACCUCAUCAUGGAGUAGGCCUCAUCCUGAACCACACACAGCUCCACAUGGCAGAGGUGAGCUGGAGCAGAUGUGUUACUCAGGUCAGGGUGCAAGUGAAACAGUGAGGAAGUAGGCCAGUUUCUUCUCAAGUUUGUACAGUUAAUAAUACAGAAAACACAUGUCUUUUUUUAAAUACUUGUUUACAUUGAAACGUUUGAGCCAAAGCUAAAAGCUUUGUAUAGACUGAGAUGCUGUUUUCAGGAAAUGAACACAAAGAGGGUAACUCAUGCUUAGUAGUAAUAACAUGUAUUUGAGUGCAUGGCUGAAUUCUGUAUUACUCCUGACAUAGUAAAUACAGUCAGACACCAUGCUAAAUAAAUGUUUUCACACACUGACCAACAAUGGGAUUUGAGUGCUUAUUGUGUACCUCAUUCUUAUGUCAGAGUGAAUACAGCAACAUGUGACGAGUUUGGAUAGGAUUUCAUCUUUCAAGGCUUCAGCUGAUUAUUAUUUUAACUAAUAAUGCCACAUUUAUUUAGGUAUCUUGGUUGAAUCAUCAUUGAAUCAUUAACGCGAGCCAUAAGUCCACUUUAUAGAAACCAUUGUACUCAGCACUACCGUGUUGCAUCCUUGAAGCCAAUGUGCUGCUGUUUCCUAAUAUUUUUUUUUUUUACAAUACAGCAGCUCAGUCACAUAUUACAUCAGCAGAUAAAUUCAUCUCAUAAUGUCUGUUGUUCUCUUUUUGCUCCAGCAUGUGUUUAAAUAAAGAAAUGCAGUAAUCUACACUGAGACGUUGCCACAGCCGACCUUCAGGCUGUGAAAUAUGGCCAGAGGAUGGGAAACCAGUGGCUGUUUCUAAAGCAGGACUGUGGGAAACUCCUUCACUCAUGGUAACUAAUAUCACACUCUAUGAUCUAUAAUAAUUUUUUUAUGGCUUUUUCACCCAUUUCUCUUUAGACGUUGUGCCAGAAACUAUUUCAGUUGAUGAUUUUUGUGGAUGUGAAUGUACCUCCUUAAAAAAUAAAUUUGUUAUUGCUCUAAAAA